ACCUCGUUGCUCAGUUCGGAUAGAGCAUUCCGAUCUAGCAAAUCAAAGGUCGCGGGUUCGAUUCCCAUGCACCAGAGA